rnacentral:rRNA from 1 species
CCUACGGGUGGCUGCAGUGGGGAAUAUUGGGCAAUGGAGGCAACUCUGACCCAGCAACGCCGCGUGAAGGAAGAAGGCCUUAGGGUUGUAAACUUAUGUUGUAAAGGAAGAAAAGAAUGACGGUACUUUACAAGAAAGCCCCGGCUAACUAUGUGCCAGCAGCCGCGGUAAGACAUAGGGGGCAAGCGUUGUUCGGAAUUACUGGGCGUAAAGGGAGCGUAGGCGGGAGAUUAAGUUAAGAGUGAAAGCCUUGGGCUCAACCCAAGAAAUGCUCUUAAUACUGGUUUUCUAGAGUGUGGGAGAGGUAAGUGGAAUUCCUAGUGUAGCGGUAGAAUGCGUAGAGAUUAGGAGGAACAUCAGAGGCGAAGGCAGCUUACUAAACUGCCACUGACAUUGAUGCUCGAAAGUGUGGGUAUCAAACAGGAUUAGAUACCCCAGUAGUC